GACGAACGCUGGCGGCGUGCUUAACACAUGCAAGUCGAACGGGUCUGCCCUGUUUUUUGCGGGGUGGGUCAGUGGCGAACGGGUGAGUAACACGUGAGUAACCUGCCCCUCACUUCUGGAUAACCGCUUGAAAGGGUGGCUAAUACGGGGUGUUCUGGCUGUGCCGCAUGGUGUGGCUGGGAAAGAUUCACUUUUGUGGUGUUUUGGUGGGGGAUGGGCUCGCGGCCUAUCAGCUUGUUGGUGGGGUGAUGGCCUGCCAAGGCUUUGACGGGUAGCCGGCCUGGGAGGGUGGGCGGUCUCACAGGGUCUGGGGUACGGCCCGGACUCAUGCGGGAGGCAGCAGUGGGGGGUAUUGCACAAUGGGCGGAAGCCUGAUGCAGCGACGUCGCGUGAGGGAUGGAGGCCUUCGGGUUGUGAACCUCUUUCGCCGGUGAAGAAGGUCCUGCUCUGUGUGGUGGGGUUGACGGUAGCCGGGUUAUGAAGCGCCGGCUAACUACGUG
rnacentral:rRNA from 1 species